GCACAAGCGGUGGAUCAUGUUGUUUAAUUCGAUGAUACGCGAAGAACCUUUACCAGGUCUUGACAUCCCUUGCAAAGCUAUGGAGACAUAGUGGAGGUUAUCAAGGAGACAGGUGGUGCAUGGUUGUCGUCAGCUCGUGUCGUGAGAUGUUGGGUUAAGUCCCGCAACGAGCGCAACCCUUAUUGCUAGUUACCAUCAUUCAGUUGGGGACUCUAGCGAGACUGCCAGUGAUAAACUGGAGGAAGGUGGGGAUGACGUCAAAUCAUCAUGCCCCUUAUGACCUGGGCUACAAACGUGAUACAAUGGCUGAAACAAAGGGCAGCGAAGCAGUGAUGUGGAGCGAAACCCAAAAAAGCAGUCUCAGUUCGGAUUGAAGUCUGCAACUCGACUUCAUGAAGUCGGAAUCGCUAGUAAUCGCGGAUCAGAACGCCGCGGUGAAUACGUUCUCGGGGUUU
rnacentral:rRNA from 1 species